CUCUGUCCUUCCCCACAGGGCUGAUGGCGGCCGUGACGUUGGACGAGUCCGGGGGCGGCCUCCAGACGCCCGGAGGAGUGCUCAGCCUCGUCUGCAAGGGCUCCGGGUUCACCUUCAGCAGUUAUGCCAUGGGUUGGAUGCGCCAGGCACCCGGCAAGGGGCUGGAGUAUGUCGCGGGUAUUAGAAGUGAUGGUAGUAACCCAAACUACGGGGCGGCGGUGAAGGGCCGUGCCACCAUCUCGAGGGACAACGGGCAGAGCAUAGUGAGGCUGCAGCUGAACAACCUCAGGGCUGAGGACACCGCCACCUACUACUGCGCCAAACGUGGUUCCAGUGAUAGUUAUGGUGUUACUGCUGCUGGUGGUGUUGGUCAGCAUUCUGGUUGGAUCGUCGCCACUUCUCUUUCCAUCUCUCAGGCCCAGCCACGUGUGGGGACCCAGCUCUGAGUGUGGGGCAGAGCA